rnacentral:rRNA from 1 species
CAAUAUAAGUGAUGGCGACCGGCGCACGGGUGAGUAACACGUAUCCAACCUGCCGAUAACUCGGGGAUAGCCUUUCGAAAGAAAGAUUAAUACCCGAUGGUAUAAUAAAACCGCACGGUUUAAUUAUUAAAGAAUUUCGGUUAUCGAUGGGGAUGCGUUCCAUUAGGCAGUUGGUGAGGUAACGGCUCACCAAACCUUCGAUGGAUAGGGGUUCUGAGAGGAAGGUCCCCCACAUUGGAACUGAGACACGGUCCAA